UACAGAGGUCCCAAGCGUUGUUCGGAUUUACUGGGCGUAAAGGGUGCGUAGGCGGUCGGGUAAGUCUGACGUGAAAUCUCCGGGCCUAACCCGGGAACUGCGUUGGAUACUACCUGACUAGAGGAAGUGGAGGGGAGACUGGAAUACUUGGUGUAGCAGUGAAAUGCGUAGAUAUCAAAGUGGAACACCAGUGGCGAAGGCGAGUCUCUGGACAUUUCCUGACGCUGAGGCACGAAAGCCAGGGGAGCAAACGGG
rnacentral:rRNA from 1 species